rnacentral:rRNA from 1 species
AAAAUUUUAAAGGUCGAACAGACCUAACUUCUUAGCCUCUCCACCAAGAGUUAAUUUUAAUCCAACAUCGAGGUCGCAAAAUUCCCCAUCAAUAAGAACUUUCAGGAAAAAUAACG